GCGCUGCUUAGCAUGCAGUCGAACGGUUCGCAAGAACAGUGGCGGACGGGUGAGUAAUGCGUGGGAAUCUACCUUAAAGUGUAGGAUAGCCACCUGAAAAGGUGGGUAAUACUGCAUGUGAUCGCAAGAUUAAAGCCGCAAGGCGCUUUAAGAUGAGCCUGCGUCCUAUCAGCUUGUUGGUGGGGUAAUGGCCUACCAAGGCGACGACGGGUAGCUGGUCUGAGAGGAUGGUCAGCCACAAUGGCACUGAGACACGGGCCAUACACCUACGGGUGGCAGCAACUGGGAAUAUUCGGCAAUGGGCGAAAGCCUGACCGAGCGACGCCGCGUGGAGGAUUGAAGGCCUUCGGGUUGUAAACUCCUUUUGCUAGGGAAGAUUAUGACGGUACCUAGCGAAUAAGCACCUGCUAACUACGUGCCAGAAGCCUCGGUAAUACGUAGGGUGCAAGCGUUAUCCGGAUUCAUUGGGCGUAAAGAGUGGCGUAGGCGGAUUUGCGCAUUUCACUUAAAAUGCUGUGGCUCAACCACAGUUUUGGGUGAAAUAUGGCAAAUCUUGAGGAAAAGAGAGGGUACUGGAACCGAUCAAGUAGCAGUGAAAUGCGUUGAUAUGAUCGGGAACACCAAAGGCGUAGGCAGGUACCUGGCUUUUUCCUGACGCUCAGGCACGAAAGCUUGGGGAGCGAAGCAGAUUAGAGACCUGCGUAGUCCAAGCCGUAAACGAUGGAUGCUAGAUACCGGGGGUUUCCUCGGUGUCGUAAGCUAACGCGUUAAGCAUCCCGCCUGGGGAGUACGAGCGCAAGCUUAAAACUCAAAGGAAUUGACGGGGAGGCGCACAAGCAGUGGAGCGUGUGGUUUAAUUCGAAACAAAGCGAAACACCUCACCAGGUUUGACAUGCACCUGCAAGCGCACGGAAACGUGU
rnacentral:rRNA from 1 species